rnacentral:ncRNA from 1 species
GCGGAAGGACGGCCUUCCGAUCAGCACAUCAUCCGCGGGGACGACCCUG